rnacentral:lncRNA from 1 species
CGGAGGAAGACAUGAGUAUCUAUGGGAAGGCUCGAGACAAGGGUAAAUAUGGAAUUUUUACCAUGCUGUCUGUGCUAAUUUUGAAAAGAGCGGUUUUCAACAGGCGCUCUGUUAAAAAAAAAUGCAAUCAUCAAAGAGAUGAUUUCGGGAGCAAAGAGGGUUUUGUUGCAUUUAUUAUUGCGUCUCUUCCGUAGGAAGGAAUCAGAGUUGAGAAAAUUUCAGAGCAAAAGAUAUGUUUUACUCCG